UAUAGUGCUAGCCUUCACAACCUCCUCAGAGACACCCAGUGCCCAGCUGGAGUGAGUUAAGGAGGAGGAGGAGGAGUGGGUUUAGGAGUAGGAAAAGGAGAAGCGGGUGAGGAGGAGGAAGAGGAGGAGGAUGUGUCCCCUGAACAAGACACCAUCAGAGUCAUCCAGCAGCACCUCCAGGGCAGAGAUGAGUUGGUGGAGGACAGGGCCAAACAGCUCCACUUCCUCCAAGCUGUCCCAAGUCUGUGCGUCUCGGCACAGCAGCAGGGGUGGGACACCCUGGAACCCCACUUUUCAAAAGCAGCCCUUGUGGAGAGCAUUGCGUCUCCCAGGAGCUGAUUGAAAAUCUUCCCGUGGUAUCCGAGCUAAGCUCCAUCAUGUCCAGCUCCACGGCCGCGGUUUACAAUCUCAGAACUGUGCUCCACUGCAGGAGAAAAUGACCUAAAAUGCUUCUGAAAUUGUAUUUUCUAUGUGAUUUCCCAGCCCAGCAGAGUGGAAAGCAUAGAAUAGGUAGAAACAGAAAACUGGUCACUUAUCUGAAACAGAAGCUAAUCACUUAUUUACUGCAAGCAGCUGUGGUCAUGGUGGAAUUGUGAAUAUCAGCCAGCCCUAUGUUGUACAGCUGAACUGGAGAGGAUUUUCCUUCAAAUAUGGUUCCUGGGGUAGGGAUUGCUUUCUUCGGACUCCUCAGAAGGACCUAUACUGGGUUGCACCUUUGAACACAGAUGGGAGACUCUUAGAAUAUUACAGACUUCAUAAUUCCUACAAUGAUUUGCUGCUAUUAAAAAUGCUAGAGAGUUAAAAAUUCAAUAUGGGGAAGGCAGUGGCACUGCAGUUUACAAUAACUUCAUGUAUUACAAUGUAUAUAA